rnacentral:rRNA from 1 species
CCUACGGGUGGCAGCAGUGAGGAAUAUUGGUCAAUGGGCGGGAGCCUGAACCAGCCAAGUCGCGUGAGGGAAGACGGUCCUAUGGAUUGUAAACCUCUUUAGGCGGGGAGCAAUGCCGGGCACGUGUGCCCGGAGGGAGAGUACCCGCAGAAUAAGCAUCGGCUAACUCCGUGCCAGCAGCCGCGGUAAUACGGAGGAUCCGAGCGUUAUCCGGAUUUAUUGGGUUUAAAGGGUGCGUAGGUUGUUUUUUAAGUCAGCGGUGAAAGUUUGUGGCUCAACCAUAAAAUUGCCGUUGAAAAUGGAAGACUUGAGUGUGUUUGAGGUAGGCGGAAUGCGUGGUGUAGCGGUGAAAUGCAUAGAUAUCACGAAGAACUCCGAUUGCGAAGGCAGCUUACUAAGCCAUAACUGACACUGAAGCACGAAAGCGUGGGGAUCAAACAGGAUUAGAUACCCGAGUAGUC